UAAGCCAUGCGAGUCGAGAGGGUUCGGCCCUCGGCUGACGGCUCAGUAACACGUGGAUAAUCUACCCUAAGGUGGAGGAUAAUCUCGGGAAACUGAGAAUAAUACUCCAUAAGUCUAGGAUACUGGAAUGUACUUAGGCUGAAAACUUCGGUGCCCUAGGAUGAGUCUGCGGACUAUCAGGUUGUAGUCAGGGUAAAGACCUGACUAGCCUACGACGGAUACGGGUUGUGAGAGCAAUAACCCGGAGAUGAUAUCUGAGACACGAUAUCAGGCCCUACGGGGCGCAGCAGGCGCGAAAACUUCACACUGCGCGAAAGCGCGAUGAGGGAAUCCCAAGUGCUUGCACGUAAGUGUAAGCUGUUUCUAUGUCUAAAAAGCAUAGAGAGUAAGAGCUGGGUAAGACGGGUGCCAGCCGCCGCGGUAAUACCUGCAGCUCAAGUGGUGGCCGUUAUUAUUGGGCCUAAAACGUCCGUAGCCGGUUUAUUAAAUGCCUGGGUAAAUCGGGCCGCUUAACGGUUCGAAUUCCGGGUAGACUGAUAGACUUGGGACCGGGAGAGGCUAGAGGUACUCCUGGGGUAGAGGUGAAAUUCUGUAAUCCUAGGGGGACACCAGUGGCGAAGCGUCUAGCUAG
rnacentral:rRNA from 1 species